rnacentral:rRNA from 1 species
ACGAACGCUGGCGGCGUGCCUAAUACAUGCAAGUCGAACGCUUCUUUCCUCCCGAGUGCUUGCACUCAAUUGGAAAGAGGAGUGGCGGACGGGUGAGUAACACGUGGGUAACCUACCCAUCAGAGGGGGAUAACACUUGGAAACAGGUGCUAAUACCGCAUAACAGUUUAUGCCGCAUGGCAUAAGAGUGAAAGGCGCUUUCGGGUGUCGCUGAUGGAUGGACCCGCGGUGCAUUAGCUAGUUGGUGAGGUAACGGCUCACCAAGGCCACGAUGCAUAGCCGACCUGAGAGGGUGAUCAGCCACACUGGGACUGAGACACGGCCCAGACUCCGACGGGAGGCAGCAGUAGGGAAUCUUCGGCAAUGGACGAAAGUCUGACCGAGCAACGCCGCGUGAGUGAAGAAGGUUUUCGGAUCGUAAAACUCUGUUGUUAGAGAAGAACAAGGACGUUAGUAACUGAACGUCCCCUGACGGUAUCUAACCAGAAAGACACGGCUAACUACGUG